rnacentral:rRNA from 1 species
AAUCAACGCUGGCGGCGUGCCUAACACAUGCAAGUCGAGCGGUAAGGCCCUUUCGGGGGUACGACGAGCGGCGAACGGGUGAGUAACACGUGGGUGACCUGCCCUCCAGCUCUGGGAUAAGCCUGGGAAACCGGGUCUAAUACUGGAUAUGACUCCAUGACGCAUGUUGUGGGGUGGAAAGCCUUGUGCGGCUGAGGAUGGGCCCGCGGCCUAUCAGCUUGUUGGUGGGGUGAUGGCCUACCAAGGCGACGACGGGUAGCCGGCCUGAGAGGGCGACCGGCCACACUGGGACUGAGACACGGCCCAGACUCCUACGGGAGGCAGCAGUGGGGAAUCUUGCGCAAUGGGCGAAAGCCUGACGCAGCGACGCCGCGUGAGGGAUGACGGCCU